GCCGACGUAGCUCAACCGGCAGAGCAAUGGUUUUGUAAACCAUCGGUUGUGGGUUCAAGUCCCACCGUCGGCU
rnacentral:tRNA from 1 species